GUCCUAUAUAAAAACAAAAUGAGAACUUGUGUAUUGGAACUGCUAUCAACACAGACGUGAAAAGUGGCUUUGACACACCCAAGACCUGCCACCCAAUAUGACUGCUGAAGAAGCAAAACAAGGCGACUACAUGGUCUGUGAAGAUCAUUUCAGGCUGAAAACCUGCAUUUCAAAGGUCAAAGAACACGUCUGACUCCAGGUGCUGUCCCCAUCCUUGUCAGGCAACAGGUCACCCCUGUUCAGAGGAAAAGAGCUGUCAACAUACCUAUGGACACCAAGGAGGAUCCAGAGGAGCAUGUAGGCACAUCAAGCAACCUGGAGCCACUGCUGCAAA